rnacentral:rRNA from 1 species
GACGAACGCUGGCGGCGUGCCUAAUACAUGCAAGUAGAACGCAGAUGCGAACGGGUGAGUAACGCGGAGGAAAAUGACUCAUAGGGGGGGGAAAAUAUUGGAAAAGAGAGCUAAUACCGCAAACUGUGAGAUGGACAUGCGUUGUAUUAGCUAGUUGGAGAGGUAAAGUCGCACCAAGGCGACGAUACAUAGCCGACAGGAGAGGGUGAUCUGCCACACUGGGAUCGCGACACUGCCCAGACUCCUACGGGAGGCCGCAGUAGGGAAUCGUCGGCAAUGGACGGAAGUCUGACUGAGCAACGCCGCGUGAGUUAAGAAGUUUUUCGGAUCGUAAAGCUCUGUUGUUAGAGAAGCGGUACCUAACCAGAAAGGGACGGCUAACUACGUGCCAGCCGCCGCGGUAAUAC